rnacentral:rRNA from 1 species
ACACGUGGGCAACCUACCUCAUAGAGGGGAAUAGCCUUCCGAAAGGGAGAUUAAUACCGCAUAAGAUUGUAGUACCGCAUGGUACAGCAAUUAAAGGAGCAAUCCGCUAUGAGAUGGGCCCGCGGCGCAUUAGCUAGUUGGUGAGGUAACGGCUCACCAAGGCGACGAUGCGUAGCCGACCUGAGAGGGUGAUCGGCCACAUUGGGACUGAGACACGGCCCAGACUCCUACGGGAGGCAGCAUG